rnacentral:rRNA from 1 species
GCGACGCUCAGGCGUUGUUGGGUAGGGGAGCGUUCUGUAAGCCUGUGAAGGUGGCCUGUGAGGGUUGCUGGAGGUAUCAGAAGUGCGAAUGCUGACAUAAGUAACGAUAAAGCGGGUGAAAAGCCCGCUCGCCGGAAGACCAAGGGUUCCUGUCCAACGUUAAUCGGGGCAGGGUGAGUCGACCCCUAAGGCGAGGCCGAAAGGCGUAGUCGAUGGGAAACGGGUUAAUAUUCCCGUACUUGGUGUUACUGCGAAGGGGGGACGGAGAAGGCUAUGUUGGCCGGGCGACGGUUGUCCCGGUUUAAGCGUGUAGGUGUGUGUUCCAGGUAAAUCCGGUUCACUUUAACACUGAGGCGUGACGACGAGGCACUACGGUGCUGAAGCAACAAAUGCCCUGCUUCCAGGAAAAGCCUCUAAGCAUCAGGUAACAUCAAAUCGUACCCCAAACCGACACAGGUGGUCAGGUAGAGAAUACCAAGGCGCUUGAGAGAACUCGGGUGAAGGAACUAGGCAAAAUGGUGCCGUAACUUCGGGAGAAGGCACGCUGACACGUAGGUGAAGUGAUUUACUCAUGGAGCUGAAGUCAGUCGAAGAUACCAGCUGGCUGCAACUGUUUAUUAAAAACACAGCACUGUGCAAACACGAAAGUGGACGUAUACGGUGUGACGCCUGCCCGGUGCCGGAAGGUUAAUUGAUGGGGUCAGCGCAAGCGAAGCUCCUGAUCGAAGCCCCGGUAAACGGCGGCCGUAACUAUAACGGUCCUAAGGUAGCGAAAUUCCUUGUCGGGUAAGUUCCGACCUGCACGAAUGGCGUAAUGAUGGCCAGGCUGUCUCCACCCGAGACUCAGUGAAAUUGAACUCGCUGUGAAGAUGCAGUGUACCCGCGGCAAGACGGAAAGACCCCGUGAACCUUUACUAUAGCUUGACACUGAACAUUGAGCCUUGAUGUGUAGGAUAGGUGGGAGGCUUUGAAGCGUGGACGCCAGUCUGCGUGGAGCCGACCUUGAAAUACCACCCUUUAAUGUUUGAUGUUCUAACGUGGACCCGUUACCCGGGUUGCGGACAGUGUCUGGUGGGUAGUUUGACUGGGGCGGUCUCCUCCUAAAGAGUAACGGAGGAGCACGAAGGUUGGCUAAUCCUGGUCGGACAUCAGGAGGUUAGUGCAAUGGCAUAAGCCAGCUUGACUGCGAGCGUGACGGCGCGAGCAGGUGCGAAAGCAGGUCAUAGUGAUCCGGUGGUUCUGAAUGGAAGGGCCAUCGCUCAACGGAUAAAAGGUACUCCGGGGAUAACAGGCUGAUACCGCCCAAGAGUUCAUAUCGACGGCGGUGUUUGGCACCUCGAUGUCGGCUCAUCACAUCCUGGGGCUGAAGUAGGUCCCAAGGGUAUGGCUGUUCGCCAUUUAAAGUGGUACGCGAGCUGGGUUUAGAACGUCGUGAGACAGUUCGGUCCCUAUCUGCCGUGGGCGCUGGAGAACUGAGGGGGGCUGCUCCUAGUACGAGAGGACCGGAGUGGACGCAUCACUGGUGUUCGGGUUGUCAUGCCAAUGGCACUGCCCGGUAGCUAAAUGCGGAAGAGAUAAGUGCUGAAAGCAUCUAAGCACGAAACUUGCCCCGA